AAAAGGAGGGGCGUACGCGGGCAAGAUGGAGGCGACUACGGCUGGUGUGGGCCGGCUAGAGGAAGAGGCGUUGCGGCGAAAGGAACGGCUGAAGGCCCUACGGGAGAAAACCGGGCGCAAGGACAAGGAAGAUGGGGAGCCAAAGACCAAGCAUCUCAGAGAAGAGGAGGAAGAAGGCGAGAAGCACAGGUAAUGCCCGUGUGCAGCUCCAGGGUCUGCUCUCUCCUCCAGCACUCAUCGGUCUCCCAGUCUCUGGGUCCUCCCAACUCUGUUCAGUGUCUGCCCUGUUCCCUCCCCUCUUCUUUCUGCCCAUGGCUGUCCUGUUCAGACCUUAAAAUCUCAACAUCUCAGAAGGCCCUUGUCGAGGCUUUCUCUGCCUCCUUUCCCUCAUUUUCCAUUUGGCUGUUACUCAGCCCCCAGCAUUUUCUUUCUAGCCCUUACAUUAUGCCUUUUUACCCUUCUCAUACACCUUUCGUGGCGUGGUUCUCCAUUGCCUGCUGAGUAAGUGCCCCUUCUGCACUUGGCAUGUGAAGCUCUGCCUGGACCAUCUAGCCUCAUCCAACCUCCUCUGG
rnacentral:sRNA from 1 species